rnacentral:rRNA from 1 species
GUGCACCAGGCGCGAAACCUCCGCAAUACACGAAAGUGUGACGGGGCCAUCCCGAGUGCCGUCCGCUGAGGACGGCUUUUCCCCAGUGUACACAGCUGGGGGAAUAAGGAGAGGGCAAGCCUGGUGUCAGCCGCCGCGGUAAUACCAGCUCUCCGAGUGGUGGGGACGCUUAUUGGGCCUAAAGCAUCCGUAGCCGGCUGGGCAAGUCCUCCGUUAAAUCCAACGAUUCAAUCGUUGGGCUGCGGGGGAUACUGUCCAGCUUGGGGGCGGGAGAGGCCGACGGUAUUCCCGGGGUAGGGGUGAAAUCCUAUAAUCCCGGGAGGACCACCAGUGGCGAAGGCUGUCGGCUAGAACGCGCCCGACGGUGAGGGAUGAAAGCUGGGGGAGCGAACCGGAUUAGAUA